rnacentral:rRNA from 1 species
AGCGAACGCUGGCGGCAGGCCUAACACAUGCAAGUCGAGCGCCCCGCAAGGGGAGCGGCAGACGGGAGAGUAACACGUGGGAACGUACCCUUCAGUUCGGAACAACCCAGGGAAACUUGGGCUAAUACCGGAUACGUCCGUAAGGAGAAAGAUUUAUCGCUGAAGGAUCGGCCCGCGUCCGAUUAGCUAGUUGGUGAGGUAACGGCUCACCAAGGCGACGAUCGGUAGCUGGUCUGAGAGGAUGAUCAGCCUCACUGGGACUGAGACACGGCCCAGACGCCUACGGGAGGCAGCAGUGGGGAAUAUUGGACAAUGGGCGCAAGCCUGAUCCAGCCAUGCCGCGUGGAUGAUGAAGGCCCUAGGGUUGUAAAGUCCUUUCGGCGGGGAAGAUAAUGACGGUACCCGCAGAAGAAGCCCCGGCUAACUCCGUGCCAGCCGCCGCCGUAACAC